rnacentral:rRNA from 1 species
UACGUAGGGUGCGAGCGUUGUCCGGAAUUAUUGGGCGUAAAGAGCUCGUAGGCGGUGUGUCGCGUCGGCCGUGAAAACCUGGGGCUCAACUCUGGGCGUGCGGUCGAUACGGGCAUCACUUGAGUUCGGCAGGGGAGACUGGAAUUCCUGGUGUAGCGGUGAAAUGCGCAGAUAUCAGGAGGAACACCGGUGGCGAAGGCGGGGUCU